GCGCCCGUAGCUCAAUUGGAUAGAGCAUCUGACUACGAAUCAGAAGGUUGUAGGUUCGACUCCCGCCGGGCGCACCA
rnacentral:tRNA from 50 species